AAUGUUGCGGAAGUGCAUUCGUCAGAUCUCGGAAGAGAAACAAGCAACAUGAAGAAAGAAGCGCAAAAUAAGCCUCUUCCCUCACGAACAUAAGAGAACCGAUGUUUUUUAAAUAAAAAUAUAAAUACAGAUAAGCUCUAAACGGCAGUUUAUGCUUUUACAAAAGAAACCUAAAUAUUUGCCGUGGUAACGAUUAUUGGUGCCUCUUAAUGUUGGCUAGUGAAAAUAUUCCUGCAUAAAAUGAAAAGAAUUUAGUCAUUUUAGAGUUUUGACGAGGUAUAAGUUAAAUGACUUUUGAUUGGUUGUAUGUAAGUAAAGUCGUCUCUGAUUGGUCAAUGGAAAACAUGUGUUUUCAGUAAACAUUAUGCUAUUAAGAAUAAAACCUUUAUCUUUCGCGGUGUGUGUGUAGGGGUCGAGGCUGGUAAAGACAGAAACACAAACCGCAAUGUCGUAUAAUAAUUACAUUAUGCAGAGUGUAACAUGGCAACCUUCGUCGUGUGCGUUGCCCCUCCUUCCCUUUCAUUCAGUCAGAAGGACAAUUUCGCCCUCGAAUUUAAAGCGCGCAGCUUACGCGCACACUGCCGUUGCUGCGAGAAGUUUGCUUGUAUUUGUCGCCUUUGUAAAUUAAGUUUAUAAAGGACAUUAACACGAUAAUGGCCACACCAAAUACUCAUGGUAUGGAAACCAACAGCAGAGGUGGCAUUUUUGAGUGUAUCUGGAGGCCAUUGCUUAGAGUCUGGAGACGUCUGUGCUGCCAUGUUGGACCUGAUGAGCCUGAAAUAAAACUUUCAGUGGAAGAAACGUCACCACUCAAUGGCCAAAGCUCUGUCCGUCCAUGGUGAAGAUCCUGAUGUUGUUUUCUUCACACAGAUGAUCAUUUUUGAUGAAUUGAUGACCAGCAGAAUUGUUGGACCUACAUUUGGAGCCAAGUUUAAAGACUGAGAAGAUUGAUGUACUUCCCCUCAAAUCUGCCUGACGUGUCCGUCCCACCGACAUACUGACAGAAUGUGAUGUGUUCUGGACAAGGUACUUUAUUACUACUGUGCACUCAGGAGAACAAACCAUGCAGAAGCUUUUCAGGGACCGACCUUUGGCUUCAAACCUCUGGACAGCAUGAUCUUCCUUUUUGCCAAAGUGACAAAGACAGUGUUCCCUUUUGGAUCACCUUGAAUGUCCAGAACAUUUGUAUGAGCCAAGAGGGGUUUGAUCUAGUGCACCAAACAGUUGGUUUAGGUCAGUGGAAGCAGGCAUUGGAUCAUCAGCCCCUCAACUUGAAGAUAAUGAAGCACUGUACCAGUGAAGUGUCCUUAAGAUUUAGACAGGUACUGUUGUUUUAAGUGUUAAGUUUUAAUGAGCUUAUGCACACAUCGAUGUGUGAAUGCUUUCACACAGAAAUCAUGAUUUAUCCAUAAGUUCAUACUAGUAUUUUUAGUCAAAUUAGAAAGCAUUUACACCACCUGAGAUCACUCAGAUAUUUGGUUUGUGUGCUCUCAUGUGAGAAUGCACCUCUAGAGAUCGAGGAAAUGUUAUGUAAAUUAUUCCCUGCAGACACACAUUCUCCCAUUCAGAAUAAUCCACAUUAAUCAUCAUAAGGGCUGCAAAACAUCCAUGACAGCUGUUAACCUGUCCAUGUUGGCAAAUGAUCAUGGCUAUGUGGAAUAUAUAAAUCAUUUUAAUAGCACGGCCAUUCGAAACUCGAGGGUCUACCAUGUGCGUAGUAAAGGGAUCACCGACAAUCAUUUUGGGCGGCCACGGGAAUUAAUGUAAACACAGAUAUCGGAUACGAUUUGUGUCUAAAGUAAAUGCAAACAGGCGGGCCAAAAAAUCGGAUAUGGUCAAAAGAUAGGAUCUAUGCAUUAAAGGAUUAGUUCACUUUGAAAUGAAAAUUAGCCCAAGCUUUACUCACCCUAAAGCCAUCCUGGGUGUAUAUUACUUUCUUCUGUCUGAUGAACAUAAUUGGAGAAAUAUUAAUAAAUAUCCUGACGCAUCCGAGCUUUAUAAUGGCAGUGAACAGGACCAAUGAGUAUGAGCUGAAGAAAGUGCCCCCAUCCAAAUCCAUCCAUCCAACUAAUCCUUUAAAACUUGCAGUGUAAAUGCAGCCAAAGACAAAUACUGUUGUGAUACAUUGCUCAUGCUUCUCUACUUGAAUCUCUUAAAGGGAUAAUUCACCCAAAAAUGAAAAUUCUGUCAUUUAUCUUUUGUGUGUUGUGUGUGUAGAACAUACAUAAACUUUAUAUAUUUAACCAUUUUGGUUAUCAUUGACUCACUGUAUGGACCAAAAAAACAUUUACAUUUCUCAAAAUAUACAGAAGAAAGUCAUACAGGUUUGUAAUGACAUUAGGGUGAGAAUGUGACAGAAUUUUGGCUGAACUGUCCCUUUAAGCAGAGGGUCGUCACAUGAGCAUGACCGUUUACAUUCUGUCUCAGGAUUGGAAAUGUAAUUUAUAAUAUGUAGAGAUAAAAUCAUGUAGAUGAUAUGAAGACGUCUUGAUAUAUUUUAUUGUUGAGUAUGAAGAUGUUUUUCUUGCUCUGAACCUUAAUAUCUAAAAGAAUGCCUCCAGUGGGAUUUUAUGGGACACCUGAAGUUCCAAGAGGUAUGUGUUUUCCUCAGGGAUGUUGCAACAAUCACUUGCUCACAUUACACGAGUAUUUAAAGAAGGCAUGCGGGUUAGUGUCUGUCCUGACAAGACAAGGUGUUUUGACUUCUCACAAAGUGCCUACACUGGAAGUUAAUGCCAAACUACAGUAGUCAACAUUUGAAGUGGAUCAAAAAAGUUAAUCAAAGUUGUCCUAAGAACUAAGUUGUCCUAAGAAGGUUUUAAGACAACUUUGAUGAAAGGUUUUGAUCCACUUCAAAUGUUGACUACUAUAAAUCGCUUCCAUUAAAACCAACAAAGCUGUCUGCAGUGCAGAUAAGCAACACUGAAUGCCUAGUCGCUUGCAGUGAUGACAGCGCCACAGUGGACAAUGUUGUUGUGAAACUUACCUUUACAGUAGGAAUAGUGGCUGAUUAAAAUCUAGCCUCUCUCUGUGUCAUCUGGCAGAAGCCUAUUUAACAAAAUUUCACCCAUAGCUUGUCCAGGAUGCAGUCUAUCCUAAAGCAGGGUUUCUCAACUCUCAGCUGAUCAAAUUCAUUAGUUCCAGAUGGGUUUGAUCAGGAUCAGUUGAGAAACCCUGUUUUAAUGGUUCUUGACUGGUGUAAUGGAGGACUGUAGAAUUCUUGGUUUUAGGUCAAUAUAUUGUUAGCACUUAUCCUUUGCUUGCACUUAAACUUGGUUGUGCCUUCUUUUGCUAAUAUUUAUUUAGACAAACUAACAAGCGCUAGUUAAAGGACUGUUUUACAUUAAGUCUUAUUUUAUGAAGUUGCUUAAUAUUUAAGUAUAUUAUUUAUCCAAAAAUAUGUGCAUAAAUGAAAAUACUGUGAUAUCUAUUAAGAAGUUGGUUUGUAUUGUAUGCAGUAUAGUGUUGAUGUUGUUGGUUUUUUUGGGGCGGUCCUUGACAACAUGGAUGAUAUACAGCCUCAAUGUGUUACAUGUUUUGAACAAUAAAGUUAAAUGAUCCAAAUCCA